ensembl:lncRNA
CAUCGGCUGGGUGAGUUCCAACAUUGUCAGGGCCGGGUACUGCUGGCUGCCCUGGCUGCUUAGCAGAGCAAAACAGGCAUGAAGAAGUGCACGUAGGGAAAGGGGACCAUGUUCAUGCUGACUUAAGCAGUUCUGUACAUGAAGCCUAAAGAGUGAGCUAAGGACAAGGAAACCACACUGAACAGAUCAAGGACGAGACACAGAUGUUUGAUAUUUUGCUUCCAAAUAAUCAGUGAUCAUAGCAAACUGGAAAAUUCUUAGAUGGGAAUACCAGGCCACCUUACCUGCCUCCUGCAAAACCUGUGUGCAGGUCAAGAAGCAACAGUUAGAACUGGACAUGGAGCAGCAGACUGAUUCAAAAUUGGGAAAGGAGUAAGUCAAGUACAGUAUUGUCACCUGCUUAUUUAACUUAUAUGGUG